AUUGAACGCUGGCGGUAGGCCUAACACAUGCAAGUCGAACGCGUGGCGGACGGGUGAGUAAUGUCUGGGAAACUGCCUGAUGGAGGGGGAUAAAUUCUGGAAACGGUAACUAAUACCGCAUCCCAUCGGAUGUGCCAAGAUGGGAUUAGCUAGUAGGUGGGGUAACGGCUCACCUGGGCGACGAUCCCGAGCUGGUCGGAGAGGAUGACCAGCCACACGGGAACUAAGACACGGUCCAGACUCCUACGGGAGGCAGCAGUGGGGAAUAUUGCACAAGGGGCGCAAGCCUGAUGCAGCCAUGCCGCGUGUAUGAAGAAGGCCUUCGGGUUGUAAAGUACUUUCAGCGGGGCGGCGUUACCCGCAGAAGAAGCACCGGCUAACUCCGUGCCAGCAGCCGCGGUAAUAC
rnacentral:rRNA from 1 species